UACGGGGGGGGCAAGCGUUGUUCGGAAUUACUGGGCGUAAAGGGCCAGUAGGCGGCCAACUAAGUCGGAUGUGAAAUCCCCAGGCUCAACUUGGGAACUGCAUCCGAUACUGGAUGGCUUGAAUUCGGGAGAGGGAUGCAGAAUUCCAGGUGUAGCGGUGAAAUGCGUAGAUAUCUGGAGGAAUACCGGUGGCGAAGGCGGCAUCCUGGACCGACAUUGACGCUGAUGAGCGAAAGCGUGGGGAGCGAACAGG
rnacentral:rRNA from 1 species